rnacentral:rRNA from 1 species
GGACGAACGCUGGCGGCGUGCCUAAUACAUGCAAGUAGAACGCUGAAGAGAGGAGCUUGCUCUUCUUGGAUGAGUUGCGAACGGGUGAGUAACGCGUAGGUAACCUGCCUUGUAGCGGGGGAUAACUAUUGGAAACGAUAGCUAAUACCGCAUAACAAUGGAUGACACAUGUCAUUUAUUUGAAAGGGGCAAUUGCUCCACUACAAGAUGGACCUGCGUUGUAUUAGCUAGUAGGUGAGGUAAUGGCUCACCUAGGCGACGAUACAUAGCCGACCUGAGAGGGUGAUCGGCCACACUGGGACUGAGACACGGCCCAGACUCCUACGGGAGGCAGCAGUAGGGAAUCUUCGGCAAUGGGGGCAACCCUGACCGAGCAACGCCGCGUGAGUGAAGAAGGUUUUCGGAUCGUAAAGCUCUGUUGUAAGUCAAGAACGGGUGUGAGAGUGGAAAGUUCACACUGUGACGGUAGCUUACCAGAAAGGGACGGCUAACUACGUGCCAGCAGCCGCGGUAAUACGUAGGUCCCGAGCGUUGUCCGGAUUUAUUGGGCGUAAAGCGAGCGCAGGCGGUUUGAUAAGUCUGAAGUUAAAGGCUGUGGCUCAACCAUAGUUCGCUUUGGAAACUGUCAAACUUGAGUGCAGAAGGGGAGAGUGGAAUUCCAUGUGUAGCGGUGAAAUGCGUAGAUAUAUGGAGGAACACCGGUGGCGAAAGCGGCUCUCUGGUCUGUAACUGACGCUGAGGCUCGAAAGCGUGGGGAGCGAACAGGAUUAGAUACCCUGGUAGUCCACGCCGUAAACGAUGAGUGCUAGGUGUUGGAUCCUUUCCGGGAUUCAGUGCCGCAGCUAACGCAUUAAGCACUCCGCCUGGGGAGUACGACCGCAAGGUUGAAACUCAAAGGAAUUGACGGGGGCCCGCACAAGCGGUGGAGCAUGUGGUUUAAUUCGAAGCAACGCGAAGAACCUUACCAGGUCUUGACAUCCCGAUGCUAUUUCUAGAGAUAGAAAGUUACUUCGGUACAUCGGUGACAGGUGGUGCAUGGUUGUCGUCAGCUCGUGUCGUGAGAUGUUGGGUUAAGUCCCGCAACGAGCGCAACCCCUAUUGUUAGUUGCCAUCAUUCAGUUGGGCACUCUAGCGAGACUGCCGGUAAUAAACCGGAGGAAGGUGGGGAUGACGUCAAAUCAUCAUGCCCCUUAUGACCUGGGCUACACACGUGCUACAAUGGUUGGUACAACGAGUUGCGAGUCGGUGACGGCGAGCUAAUCUCUUAAAGCCAAUCUCAGUUCGGAUUGUAGGCUGCAACUCGCCUACAUGAAGUCGGAAUCGCUAGUAAUCGCGGAUCAGCACGCCGCGGUGAAUACGUUCCCGGGCCUUGUACACACCGCCCGUCACACCACGAGAGUUUGUAACACCCGAAGUCGGUGAGGUAACCUUUUGGAGCCAGCCGCCUAAGGUGGGACAGAUGAUUGGGGUGAAGU